rnacentral:sRNA from 1 species
AUGCCAAGAAUCAAGAUGUGAUCAGAAGUCAGUAAGUCAAGCCAAGCAUUAACAGGUUUUGGUGUGUUCUAGCAGUCCUAAGUGAACACGCAGAAAACAGAAAUUCAAGCUGAAACAAUAAAACACUCGACAAACACAACUCGUUGUAGAGCACUGGGUGUGGUCUAGUGACAGGUCAAGUAACAGACAGUAAAUGAAACAAAGACACUCGACUGCACAGUCUGUUGUCAGACAACUAGUUGGUCGAGUAUCAGAUCGAGUAACAGGAGAGAAAUGCAAAAACUAAGCAACAGGUAACA